UACAGAGGUCUCAAGCGUUGUUCGGAUUCAUUGGGCGUAAAGGGCGCGUAGGCUGCGGGGUAAGUCGGGUGUGAAAUCUUGGAGCUUAACUCCGAAACUGCAUUCGAUACUGCCGUGCUUGAGGACUGGAGAGGAGACUGGAAUUUACGGUGUAGCGGUGAAAUGCGUAGAUAUCGUAAGGAAGACCAGUGGCGAAGGCGGGUCUCUGGACAGUUCCUGACGCUGAGGCACGAAGGUCAGGGGAGCAAACGGG
rnacentral:rRNA from 1 species